rnacentral:misc_RNA from 1 species
AAAAAAAAAAAACAAGAGAUUCUUUGGAUUGAAUUUUGUCCUCAGUUUCUGCAACUCUUUUCUCCAUAAUAUCAGAAAUUUUAACUGAUUAUUCAUCAGCUGCCUGAUCUGUCUGCAUUUUAUUUUUGGGGAGAAUGUUUGGUUUGAAAAAAUCUCCCUUGAAGCUUGGCAAGCGUAGCAAGGUUGACCCUGAAUAUCCUGAUCCUCCUCGUCCUAACGCUUUUGAUUCUGAUGACGAGUUGGACAAAAAGCAAACCCUUAAACCUUCAAGGAAAACUUCUUCAGAACCCAAUAUGACUACACCAGAUUUUAGUACCAAUCCUUUU